GACGAACGCUGGCGGUGUGCUUAACACAUGCAAGUGGAGCGACGAACCAGGGCUUGCCCUGGGGCAGAGCCGCGAACGGGUGAGUAACACGUGGGUAACGUACCCCGAUUACCGGGACAACCCGAGGAAACUCGGGCUAAUACCGGAUGUGCUCUCCUCCCAUGAGGGAGGCGAGUAAAGGAAGCUUCGGCCUCCGAAUCGGGAGCGGCCCGCGGCCUAUUAGUUUGUUGGUGGGGUAACGGCCUACCAAGACUGCGAUAGGUAGCUGGUCUGAGAGGACGAUCAGCCACACUGGGACUGAGACACGGCCCAGACUCCUACGGGAGGCAGCAGUGGGGAAUCUUGCGCAAUGCGCGACAGCGUGACGCAGCAACACCGCGUGGGGGAAGAAGGCCUUCGGGUUGUAAACCCCUUUCAGGAGGGACGAAGGCCGGCCGGUGAAUAGCCGUGCCGGUUGACGGUACCUCCACAAGAAGCCCCGGCUAACUACGUGC
rnacentral:rRNA from 1 species